rnacentral:lncRNA from 1 species
GCGGAUGGUGAGGUUGGCUGUGGGGACAGAUGUUUUGAGGAAGACACUGCUGUAUCAACAGCCUUUGCAGACAUGUUUUGAUUCCAUGUUCUAGGAGUAAAUCUUCUGAACCCCAGUCCAGCAUAUUGUUCUUGCAGUUCGACAAUGGUGAGAGGGCUUUGGCUAGUGAUCCUUAAGUUUCCCAAGUAUUUGUCCCUGCCAAUCUGCCUUCCUAAGAUCCAUGUCUUUUUGCCUCACGCAGAUGUAAUAGCUGAGGCUUAGCACAGUAGCAAAAGGAAAAAUCAGGCCUGACAGACAGAAG